AUUGAACGCUGGCGGCAGGCCUAACACAUGCAAGUCGAACGAGUGGCGGACGGGUGAGUAAUGUCUGGGAAACUGCCUGAUGGAGGGGGAUAACUACUGGAAACGGUAGCUACUUCCGACUACCAUCAGAUGGGCCCAGAUGGGAUUAGCUUGUAGGUGGGGUAAUGGCUCACCUAGGCGAUGAUCCCUAGCGGGUCUGAGAGGAUGACCAGCAACACGGGAACUGAGACACGGUCCGGACUCCUACGGGAGGCAGAAGUGGGGAAUAUUGCACAAUGGGCGAAAGCCUGAUGCAGCCAUGCCGCGUGUAUGAAGAAGGCCUUCGGGUUGUAAAGUACUUUAAGCGGGGAGGCGUUACCCGCAGAAGAAGCACCGGCUAACUCCGUGCCAGCAGCCGCGGUAAUAC
rnacentral:rRNA from 1 species